AUGGGCCUUCUCGACCAGUUGUGGGACGAUACCGUCGCCGGCCCUCGGCCGGAGAACGGUCUCGGUAAACUUCGCAAGCAUAACACGUUCGCUGCCCGAUCUAGCUCCGGCAAGGAAUUGGAGGCUGGAAGUGCUAUCAGAGUGGUUCGCCUCCGGCUUCUCCCGCCGGUUCAACUACUCCGGUGUCUCCGUUUUCCGGAACUAGAGAAUCAUUUCGGUUUCGACGAAGGUCGGCAUCGGAUGCGUUCGAGAAGAAAAACCAAGACAGAUCAAGCUCUUCUUCUCCUUUCGAUGUGUGAGAAAUGA